AUGGAAUAUUUGGGAUCACAUUCAGGUUGUGCCAUUUGGGAUCCCAUUCAGGAUGCAAUAUUUGGGAUCACAUUCAGGUUGUGCCAUUUAGGAUCACAUUCAGGAUGGAAUAUUUGGGAUCACAUUCAGGCUGUGAUGCUUUGGAAUCACAUUCAGGUUGCUGCCAUUUGGGAUCCCAUUCAGGAUGCAAUAUUUGGGAUCACGUUCAGGU